AGGAGGAUCAACCGCAGUGGCACCGGCCAGCUCUGGAGCCCUGGAUUCAGCUCCCGCAGUAACUCCGGAUCUCUCCGUCUGCAGGGCCUGGAUGCUUUGGGGUCGG
rnacentral:pre_miRNA from 1 species